rnacentral:rRNA from 1 species
AUGAACGCUGGCGGCGUGCCUAAUACAUGCAAGUCGAGCGAACAGACGAGGAGCUUGCUCCUCUGACGUUAGCGGCGGACGGGUGAGUAACACGUGGAUAACCUACCUAUAAGACUGGGAUAACUUCGGGAAACCGGAGCUAAUACCGGAUAAUAUAUUGAACCGCAUGGUUCAAUAGUGAAAGACGGUUUUGCUGUCACUUAUAGAUGGAUCCGCGCCGCAUUAGCUAGUUGGUAAGGUAACGGCUUACCAAGGCAACGAUGCGUAGCCGACCUGAGAGGGUGAUCGGCCACACUGGAACUGAGACACGGUCCAGACUCCUACGGGAGGCAGCAGUAGGGAAUCUUCCGCAAUGGGCGAAAGCCUGACGAAGCAACGCCGCGUGAGUGAUGAAGGUCUUCGGAUCGUAAAACUCUGUUAUUAGGGAAGAACAAAUGUGUAAGUAACUAUGCACGUCUUGACGGUACCUAAUCAGAAAGCCACGGCUAACUACGUG